CUCUCCCUGUGACAAGCGCCGGGCUAAGCACUUUACCCGGAUUAUCUCAUUUAAUCCUCACAGCAGCUAGAGGAAGCUUGGGAAGGUUAAGCAGCCAGCCCCAGGUCAGGGGAGCUUUGCGGGCGGAGCCAGCGCUGAGUCCCAACAGUCUCCCGUAACCGCUGGCUUCCCUCGGAGUCUCCUCACCGUGCAGAAUCCGCCCGCCUUCCCCCCACCCACACUUCUGUCUCUUCUGGCUGACAGUAACCCAGCACUUCCCCAGGGGUCUUCAAUCUCCAGGGUUACAGCCAGCAUUUACGGAGGACUUAGCGUGCACCACACUGAAACAGGAUGAGCGAGCUGGGCGCCUCCUCCUUUGUGCUGUGUCUGUCUCCAUCGCCUCUGGCUCAGCCCGUGGCUGCUCAGCUCUGCACACGAAUGCAUCUGUCCCGGGAGGAGCCCUGCACACAGGCCUCCUGGAGCUUGGCUCCCCCAAGCAGGGCAAGAAUCUGCAUGAAGAUUAAGAUACCCAGACCCACAACACUGGUACUCCAAAUGCACUCAACACCUCACCCUGGAGUUACGGGCUUUUGCCUAUGCUUGGACUUGGACUUGCUAACAACAUCACCAGCACAGCACCCAGGUUGUAGCUGAACAGGGAAGGAGGCAGGCAGGGACAGCCACCCAUCAUGAUCUCCUCAUUGUUUUUUAAAUAAAGAAGAUAUUCAUUUUAGCA
rnacentral:lncRNA from 1 species